rnacentral:ncRNA from 2 species
AAACAAAAUAAGAAUUUAGGUGCCUCUUUUACAGAGGAUAAUAGGGAAGUACGGUUAAAAUCCGUCGCAGCCCCCGCUACUGUGUGCAUGGACAAAACUUCAGUAUCCACCAUUUGUUUGGGAGAGAGGAAGUAGAUUGAUGUGUGAGCCAGGAGACCUGCCUAUAUUCAUGAAAUUAC